UUACGGCCAUAUCCCGUUGAAACACCGAUAUCCAUACAAUCACCGAAGUUAAACAAUGUUGAGCCUUGUCAGUACCUAGAUGGGUGACCGUUUCGGUAUACCAGAUUCUGUA